GUGGGGAAUAUUGCACAAUGGGCGCAAGCCUGAUGCAGCAACGCCGCGUGAGGGACGACGGCCUUCGGGUUGUAAACCUCUUUUAGUAGGGAAGAAGCGAAAGUGACGGUACCUGCAGAAAAAGCACCGGCUAACUACGUGCCAGCAGCCGCGGUAAUACGUAGGGUGCAAGCGUUAUCCGGAAUUAUUGGGCGUAAAGAGCUCGUAGGCGGUUUGUCACGUCUGCUGUGAAAACUGGAGGCUCAACCUCCAGCCUGCAGUGGGUACGGGCAGACUAGAGUGCGGUAGGGGAGAUUGGAAUUCCUGGUGUAGCGGUGGAAUGCGCAGAUAUCAGGAGGAACACCGAUGGCGAAGGCAGAUCUCUGGGCCGUAACUGACGCUGAGGAGCGAAAGCAUGGGGAGCGAACAGGAUUAGAUACCCUAGUAGUCC
rnacentral:rRNA from 1 species